rnacentral:rRNA from 1 species
AUUGCACGCUGGCGGCAGGCUUAACACAUGCAAGUCGAGCGAGCGGCGGACGGGUGAGUACUGUCUGGGAAACUGCCUGAUGGAGGGGUAUAACUCCUGCAAACGGUAGCUAAUACCGCAUACCAUCAGAUGUUCCCAGAUGGGAUUAGCUAGUUGGAGGGGUAAUGGCUCACCUAGGCGACGAUCCCUAGCUUGUCUGAGAGUAUGACCAGCGAAGCUGGAACUGAGAGACGGUCCAGACGCCAACGGGAGGCAGCAGUGGGGAAUAUUGCACAAGGGGCGCAAGACUGAUGCAGACAUGGCGCGUGUGGGAAGAAGGCCUUCGGGGUGUAAAGCACUUUCAGAGAGUAGGCGUUACUCGCAGAAGAAGCACCGGCUAACUCCGUGCAAGCAGCCGCGGUAAUUC